UACGAAGGGGGCUAGCGUUGCUCGGAAUCACUGGGCGUAAAGGGCGCGUAGGCGGACUUUUAAGUCGGGGGUGAAAGCCCAGGGCUCAACCCUGGAAUAGCCUUCGAUACUGAGAGUCUUGAGUUCGGAAGAGGUUGGUGGAACUGCGAGUGUAGAGGUGAAAUUCGUAGAUAUUCGCAAGAACACCAGUGGCGAAGGCGGCCAACUGGUCCGAUACUGACGCUGAGGCGCGAAAGCGUGGGGAGCAAACAGG
rnacentral:rRNA from 1 species